UACGGGGGGGGUAAGCGUUGUUCGGAAUUACUGGGCGUAAAGGGCUCGUAGGCGGCCAACUAAGUCAUACGUGAAAUCCCUCAGCUUAACUGGGGAACUGCGUGUGAUACUGGAUGGCUUGGAUUUGGGAGAGGGAUGCGGAAUUCCAGGUGUAGCGGUGAAAUGCGUAGAGAUAUGGAGGAACACCAGUGGCGAAGGCGACUUUCUGGUCUGUAACUGACACUGAGGCGCGAAAGCGUGGGGAGCAAACAGG
rnacentral:rRNA from 1 species